AGAGUUUGAUCCUGGCUCAGGAUAAACGCUGGCGGCGUGCCUAAUACAUGCAAGUCGAACGGACGGAUCCAGCUUGCUGGAGAAGUCAGUGGCGAACGGGUGAGUAAAACGUAAGCAACCUGCCCACGAAGACUGGGAUAAUCCCUGGAAACGGGGACUAAGACCGGAUAGGCAGAGAGGGGGCAUCCCCAUUCUGUUAAAGGCGGAAAACACUGGUGGAUGGGCUUACGGUGCAUUAGUUAGUUGGCGAGGGUAACGGCCCACCAAGACGAUGAUGCAUAGCCGGCCUGAGAGGGUGAACGGCCACAUUGGGACUGAGACACGGCCCAGACUCCUACGGGAGGCAGCAGUAGGGAAUUUUCGGCAAUGGGGGCAACCCUGACCGAGCAACGCCGCGUGAGUGAAGAAGGUCUUCGGAUUGUAAAGCUCUGUUGUAAGGGAAGAACGGCAAGGAGGGAAUCCUUGAGUGACGGUACCUUACCAGAAAGCCACGGCUAACUACGUGCC
rnacentral:rRNA from 1 species